CCUACGGGUGGCAGCAGUGGGGAAUAUUGGACAAUGGGGGAAACCCUGAUCCAGCAACGCCGCGUGAAGGAAGAAGGCCCUCGGGUUGUAAACUUCUUUUCUAUAGGACGAAGAAGUGACGGUACUAUAGGAAUAAGCCACGGCUAACUACGUGCCAGCAGCCGCGGUAAUACGUAGGUGGCGAGCGUUAUCCGGAUUUACUGGGUGUAAGGGGCGUGUAGGCGGGAGAGCAAGUCAGAUGUGAAAACUACAGGCUUAACCUGUAGCCUGCAUUUGAAACGGUUCUUCUUGUGGGAUGGAGAGGCAGGCGGAAUUCCUAGUGUAGCGGUGAAAUGCGGAGAUAUUAGGAGGAACACCAGUGGAGAAGGCGGCCUGCUGGACAUUAACGGACGCGGAGGCGCGAAAGCGUGGGGAGCAAACAGGAUUAGAUACCCUAGUAGUC
rnacentral:rRNA from 1 species